GUUAUUUUAUCAAAUUAGUGAAUUAAAUUUAGACUUUAAUUAUAUGAUAAAUAUAUCAUAAAUAAUA
rnacentral:tRNA from 1 species